AGCAGAACGGGGGAUGCUCGUGGAUUUGUCCUCCUCUGUUAUCAGAUGAGUCUCCACCAUGGUUUGUUGUUCUGCCUGGAGAUGCUCCUGUCGCUCAGAGUGACUGACAUCUUAACAUUACCAGAGAUUACACCAACAAAAAUGAGGUUUUGGCUCGAAUCUCAGCAUGUACAACGGACAUCAUCUUAUGGAGCAGCAGCUUAAGUUGUCUUCAACCUUCAAAAGUUCAAACACAUCACUUCCCUCCUGUGUACCCUUCCCUGGCUUCCUGUAGCAGCCUCCCCUUGAGUGAACAGCAGAAUGACUGUCUUAGAACAGAGUCAAA